GACGUAGGGGGCCAGCGUUGCUCGGAAUUACUGGGCGUAAAGGGUUCGUAGGCGGUGUGGCAAGUCGGAAGUGAAAUCUCUAGGCUCAACCUAGAGGCUGCUCCCGAAACUGCCAUGCUAGAGUGCGGGAGAGGCGAGUGGAAUUACAGGUGUAGCGGUGAAAUGCGUAGAUAUCUGUAGGAACACCCGUGGCGAAGGCGGCUCGCUGGACCGCAACUGACGCUGAGGAGCGAAAGCCAGGGGAGCAAACGGG
rnacentral:rRNA from 1 species